AUGUGGUAUGCCUAGUCAGUCAAUCCAUGUGGCAAAAUUGAAAUUUCAUUUCAAAAUUUGAAAUUCUAAUUUCUAGACCAUUUAAAACCUGUCAGGAUUUGAGGCUUUAUACAUUGAAAAAUGCAAUCAUAGUAACCCAUUCCUCCAAAUAUAUUUACUACCGCAAAAGCUUUCUUCGUCUUUUUCUUUCAAUUUCAAGCGGCGAUUGUAUUGUCGAUGAACUAUCACAUUGUUUCCUAACCAUCAAGCAUUUGAGAAACCCUAAUUUCAAGACGGUAAAGCUUCCUAAUACAUCUUCUUCAUCUGGGUUUCUUCUUCAAUGGUAUACCUUGAAUUUACCAAGUGUUUCAUGCGAGAAUCGUAUAUUUUAUUCUUGCUGCUUACCUUGUUUGUAAAAUCAAUGGAAAAGACCAUAUAGCUCUUUGAUUCUUCUGGUUUUGAUUGUUAAUUGGAUACAUUGAAUUUUACUGGCUUUCCCUUUGAGUGUGUGCUGACCCAUGUAAAUUUCAUGGCUUCCUGCUUGUUACUGGCUGGCUUCUAGGUUUUGAUGGGCCAUAUAGUAUGUGUGAAACUAUUUUGGUGCUUACCUUGUUUGUAAAAUCAAUGGAAAAUACCAUAUAACUCUCUGAUUAAUGGAAAAGACCUGAAUGUAAGGGGUACUUUGAUCCUUAUAUUGUUUCAAGGUAUUCGAGCCCUAAGCGAAGCAACGGAUUUCAAGGUAUUCAAGGCCUAAUUUCAAGGUAUAUGUUCUUGCAGCAACUGUGCAUUACAUUCUUGUUGUUCAGACGUUUAUAAGGUAUUUGAAACAAAAUCUGCAAUUACUUUGUUCUUAAACACAAUCGAAGUGACCGUUGUUGACAAAAGCAAAAUACUUUGAGGCGUUUCCACUUGAAAUUUGAAUCUCCCCUGACCAUUUUGCAUUUCUCUGUUGAUUUUGGUUGGGUUCUAUGCUAUCGUGGUUCCCAUAGUUUUUGUUAGCUUAUUGUCCACUGACAUUGUUAUUAAACUCAAUACAAAAGACCAAAAAAGCUGUCGAAUUCAUCUGGUUUUGUUUGAACCUCAUAUACAUUGAAUUAUAUCAGGUUUCAUUUCUUUCUUUCUUUCUUUCUUGCUUGCUUUGAUUUGUUUCUAUGCCAUCUUGGUUUAAAGAGUCUAUGUGGACAUAUUUUGUGCUUACUUUGUUCUUAAACACAAUGGAACUGACCAUAAAGUUGGAAUUGGAAUCUCUCUGACCAUAUUGCAUGUCUUCAUUGAUUUUGAUUGGUUUCUAUGCCAUCUUGGUACCCAAAAUAGUUGCACACAUAUUUUGUGCUUGCAUUGUCUUGAAACCAUAUGGUUGUGUUCCUUUGUAUUCCAUUAAUUUUUUGUUAGGAUUUGAGGACUCAUUUGACAACCAGAUCCAAUGUACCACCAUUUUGCUCAUUGCAUUGUUUGAUAAUACAAUGUAAAUUAGUCAAAGGAGAUGUCCUUCCUCCAUUUUUUGGACCAAUUGCUUGAAUAAUGAAGUUGUUUGGAAAGGAUUUGAAACCAUAUAGCUGUGUUUCUUUGUAUUCCAUUGAUGUUUGUUAAGGUUUGACGAAUCAUUUGACAUCCAUCUUCCAUUUGUCCCCCAAUUUUGUUCAUUGCAUUGUUUUAUAAAACCAUGUAACAUACCCAAAGGAGAUACCCUUCAUCCCUGUCCUGGGGGAUUACGUGAAUAAUAAAGUUUUUUAGGAAGGAUUUGAAACCAUAUGGCUCUGUUGCUUUGUAUUCCAUUGAUUUUUGUUAAGGUUUGAGGACACAUUUGACAACGAGAUCCCAUGAACCCAUUUUGGUUUGUUCAUAUGGAUCUGUUGCUUUGUUCAUUGCAUUGUCUUGCUCCAAAUUUAUUACAUUAUUUUAGUUGGCUGCACAAUAGACUUACAUUUAUUACAUUGUUUUCAAUGACAAAGUAACUUGGAUUUAAAGUUGUCAAUUAGGGACGCUCCCCAACAACCUUCAGGAUCAUAAGUUUUCCAAUAACUACUAAAAUAUUUAUAUUACUUUGAAUAUUAAUAAUUAACUUAUGCAUCUAUAUUUAUUGUCUUUGUUGUCAAACAAUGUGGAUUGUGACAUUAUUGUCAUGCACAUGAUGGAGUACAUCUUUACCAACAAACCUAUCCCAAAGACUUUGUCCAAGGAAAAUCUUCUUAGGUUUAAUUAGGACUCACGUUAUGUUUGUGCUUCUCAAUGACAAUGGUCUUGUAUGGGAUGAGAAAGAUAACAUAGUCCUUGUUUCCAAUGAAGAUGAUAGUGCCAAGCUAGCUUAGGAAGAAGCACAUUGUAAAAAAUUUUUUGCUACUAUGUUGAACUAAUUUAUCAAUGUAUUGUGGUUUCCUUUGUGAAAAUUAGCAAUAUGCAUAUUACACUGAA